rnacentral:rRNA from 1 species
CCUACGGGCGGCAGCAGUGGGGAAUUUUGCGCAAUGGGGGAAACCCUGACGCAGCAACGCCGCGUGCGGGACGAAGGCCCUCGGGUCGUAAACCGCUUUCAGCAGGGAAGACCUUACGACGGUACCUGCAGAAGAAGCUCCGGCUAACUACGUGCCAGCAGCCGCGGUAAUACGUAGGGGGCGAGCGUUAUCCGGAUUCAUUGGGCGUAAAGCGCGCGUAGGCGGCCGCCUAAGCGGAACCUAUAACCCCGGGGCUCAACCUCGGGCCGGGGUCCGGACUGGGCGGCGCGAGUGCGGUAGAGGAGGGCGGAAUUCGCGGUGUAGCGGUGGAAUGCGGAGAUAGCGGGAAGAACGCCGAUGGCGAAGGCAGGUCUCUGGGCCGUCACUGACGCUGAGGCGCGAAAGCUGGGGGAGCGAACAGGAUUAGAUACCCUGGUAGUC